GACCCGCACGAAAGGCGCAACGAUCUGGGCACUGUCUCAACGAGAGACUCGGUGAAAUUAUAGUACCUGUGAAGAUGCAGGUUACCCGCGACAGGACGGAAAGACCCCGUGGAGCUUUACUGCAACCUGAUAUGGAAUGUUUGUACCGCUUGUACAGGAUAGGUAGGAGCCGAAGAGACGUGUGCGCUAGCAUACGAGGAGGCAAUGGUGGGAUACUACCCUGGCUGUAUGACCAUUCUAACCCGCCACGCUUAGCGCGUGGGGAGACAGUGUCAGGUGGGCAGUUUGACUGGGGCGGUCGCCUCCUAAAGAGUAACGGAGGCGCCCAAAGGUUCCCUCAGAAUGGAUGGAAAUCAUUCGCAGAGUGUAAAGGCACAAGGGAGCUUGACUGCGAGACUGACAAGUCGAGCAGGGACGAAAGUCGGGCUUAGUGAUCCGGUGGUUCCGCAUGGAAGGGCCAUCGCUCAACGGAUAAAAGCUACCCCGGGGAUAACAGGCUUAUCUCCCCCAAGAGUCCACAUCGACGGGGAGGUUUGGCACCUCGAUGUCGGCUCGUCGCAUCCUGGGGCUGUAGUCGGUCCCAAGGGUUGGGCUGUUCGCCCAUUAAAGCGGCACGCGAGCUGGGUUCAGAACGUCGUGAGACAGUUCGGUCCCUAUCCGUCGCGGGCGCAGGAAAUUUGAGAGGAGCUGUCCUUAGUACGAGAGGACCGGGAUGGACACACCGCUGGUGUACCAGUUGUUCCGCCAGGAGCAUCGCUGGGUAGCUAUGUGUGGCAGGGAUAAACGCUGAAAGCAUCUAAGCGUGAAGCCCCCCUCAAGAUGAGAUUUCCCAUUUCUUCGGAAAGUAAGAUCCCUGAAAGAUGAUCAGGUAGAUAGGUUUGGAGUGGAAGUGUAGCGAUACAUGGAGCGGACAAAUACUAAUCGAUCGAGGACUUAACCAAAA
rnacentral:rRNA from 1 species